GGUUUUGAUCAAUUAUUAAAAAAAAAAAAAAACAAAAUCAAAAAAAUGACUUCAUUAAAAAUGUAAAAAAUUUGUAAAAAAAAACACAUGGACGCGCAAUACCAGCAAUUAUAUUUCAAUGCCGAAAUCAGCUAUACUUAUUGAAGACAGAUAAAUGAUAAAAAUAUGUAUUAAUAUGUAAUAAUGUUAGUUAAUAAACGCGUAUUACGUAAAUUAAAAAAAAAAUAAUAAUGAUAAUGUUUUCUGAACACCUAUAUUUAUGUGAAUGAUAUUUCGCGUGUGAUUAUAAGACAUAAAAUAUGAAUAAUUGUUGUGAAAGUUUUUUUAUUCUCGACCCCGCGCCCACCCCUUUUAAUGAUGGUUAAAUCUAUUUUUGAAUAUAUGUUCACAUUAC